rnacentral:rRNA from 1 species
UACGUAGGGGGCAAGCGUUGUCCGGAAUCAUUGGGCGUAAAGCGCGCGUAGGCGGCCCGGUAAGUCCGUUGUGAAAGUCAAAGGCUCAACCUUUGAACGCCGAUGGAUACUGCCGGGCUAGAGUCCGGAAGAGGCGAGUGGAAUUCCUGGUGUAGCGGUGAAAUGCGUAGAUAUCAGGAGGAACACCGGUGGUGUAAACGGCUUUCUGGACCGUAACUGACGCUGAGGCACGAAAGCGUGGGUAGCAAACAGG